GCGAUUAUGAUGAAAUGGUAGACAUAAAACACUUAAAAUGUUUGGGCGUUAUGCCGUAAAGGUUCGAGUCCUUUUAAUCGUA
rfam:Candida parapsilosis strain CDC317 mitochondrial contig 006121